GUCCCAAGAGAACUAUUCAACUGGAGAACUAGAGAGACUAUUUCAACUGGUGAAGAUGAAGCCCAAAGUUAAUCAGCCCAGCUGCCCGAUGGCGCUUCAAGAAGAUGACUUAUCAUCAACACCUGCGACAUCUGCAGUUAACUCCCCUGAAGCGCAAAUAGUAGAUCACUAUACUUCACUUCAGACUGAAAUUCCAUUACGAC